rnacentral:lncRNA from 10 species
CCCCUUUGACACUGUGGCGUUGUUGUUCUUUUGCUCUUCACAGUAAAUUUUGCUGCUGCUGUCUCUUUGGAUUUGGGCCAUUUUUAAGAGGUGUAACACUCACUGUGAAGUUCUGUAGCUCCAUUCUUCAAGUUAGCGAGACCACGAACCUGCCGGAAGGAACCAACUCCGGACAUAGCAGAUCAAGAAGGCAGUCAGAAGUGGGCAAAAAAACUUUUUAUGGUUCACUGAGGACAAUCAACUCCUUCACAAUCUAGAACCCGAAGAUUGGAUCCUCUGAGACAUCAGAGAAAGAUUGCUUUAGCCAUCCUCACUGCAGUAAAACUUCAGGACCUCGAGCCUUGGGUUCA